rnacentral:rRNA from 1 species
GCGGUGGUGGUAUCGGCUGACCUCAUCCGGGCCGAGCUUGCCGCUUACAUCAGCGACUUCCGUGGCUCCGACUUCACUUGGGAGGUGACCGAGACGGCGCCUCUUGUCUUCUCGAUCCCCUUGCCCUCUGCCGAGCUGCUCCGUGUGUGCUCCCAUGACUUCAUCUGAUGCCCCAUCAACAAGCUCAUGGUCUCCAUUCGGGCCGCGGAUGCGGAGCCUGACCCUGUGCCUCCUAUGGAGAAGGUGUGGAUCCUUGUCUACGGCUUGCCCCGAGGUGGCAGGGCGGCACCGAGGGGUGGAAAACUUGCCCACAUCCUCAAGGCUAUCUCUGAGCCAGUGGGCAAGCUGGUGUCCGCUAACCCGGCGUCCUUCGAGGGUAAUGGUCCCGCCCGCAUUGGGAUCCUCUGCCCCGCUCCGGCUGAGAUUGAUGGAUUGUCCCUGGUUUUCUACCUCGGCGCUUCGGGAAAGGGGAGGCGCCUCACCUUUGAGCUCGAGUCCCCGAUUCCUGAGGAUAUGCUUGGGCCGGCCCCCACUGCUGAUUUUCCCCCUCUGUAUGAUGGGCAUGGUGGGGUGGCUCCGCUUCUGGGGGGAGCUCUUCCAGUGAGGAGGCUGAUGAGGAUGAUGAGGCCCCUCCGGCUUCGUCUGCUUGGCGCCGUAGCCCGGCUCCUACUGGUGGUGGGCCCUCCUGCCCAGCAGGGACGGCUUCCCAGGCGGCGUCAGGGAGUGGGUCUUUGGUCUUGGACACCCCUCUUUCUGUCGCUCCCUCGGUGGCCGACUUGGAGACCAUGGAGGAGGAUGUGGUGA